AUGCCCAAGAGGAAGGUUAGCGGGUGCGGAUGGAGCGAUGAAGGCGGAGCCCAAGCGCCGCUCUGCGAGGCUGUUGGCCAAGCCCGCCCCUGCCAAACCGGAAAAAAGCCGCGGGAAAGGAUAAAGCAUCAGACAAAAAAAGUGCAGAUAAAAGGGAAGAGGGGAGCAAAGGGCAAACAACAGGCUGAAGCGACUGACCAGCAAACCACAGAUCUGCCCUUAGAAGAUGGAGAGACGGAAAACCAGAGUCCAGCCUCGGAAGAAGAGAAAGGAGCCAAGUUUGACUAA
rnacentral:lncRNA from 1 species